GGGGAUUUAGCUCAGUGGUAGAGCACUUGCCUAGCAAGCGCAAGUUCCUGGGUUCGGUCCCCAGCUCCA
rnacentral:tRNA from 1 species